rnacentral:rRNA from 1 species
GCUAUACAUGCAGUCGAGCGAGAAACGGGUAGCAAUACCCGGAGUACAGCGGCGAAAGGGUGCGUAUGACAUGAAGAACGUACCCCUCCGUUCGGAAUAACCCAGCGAAAGCUGGGCUAAUACCGGAUACGGCCGCGGCGACGCCUGUCGCUGCGGUGAAAGUCGUAAGAUGCGGAUGGAGCGCUUCAUGGCCUAUCAGCUAGUUGGCGGGGUAACGGCCCACCAAGGCGAUGACGGGUAGCCGGACUGAGAGGUCGACCGGCCACACGGGGACUGAGACACGGCCCCGACAUCUACGGAUGGCAGCAGUAGGGAAUAUUGCGCAAUGGGCGAAAGCCUGACGCAGCGACGCCGCGUGGGGGAUGAAGGCCUUCGGGUUGUAAACCCCUUUCAUGUGGGAAGAACACUGACUUAACCACAGGAAGAAGCACCGGCUAACUCCGUGCCAGCAGCUGCGGUAAUA